rnacentral:rRNA from 1 species
CAGUAGCCGCGGUAAUACGUAGGGUGCGAGCGUUAAUCGGAAUUACUGGGCGUAAAGCGUGCGCAGGCGGUUCGUUAAGACAGAUGUGAAAUCCCCGGGCUUAACCUGGGAACUGCAUUUGUGACUGACGGGCUAGAGUAUGGCAGAGGGGGGUAGAAUUCCACGUGUAGCAGUGAAAUGCGUAGAGAUGUGGAGGAAUACCGAUGGCGAAGGCAGCCCCCUGGGCCAAUACUGACGCUCAUGCACGAAAGCGUGGGGAGCAAACAGGAUUAGAGACCCCCGUAGUCCCUGUCUCUUAUAC